rnacentral:rRNA from 1 species
UACGGGGGGUCCAAGCGUUGUUCGGAAUCACUGGGCGUAAAGCGCAUGUAGGUGGCUUUUCAAGUCAACUGUGAAAGCCCAGGGCCUAACCCUGGAAGUGCAGUUGAAACCGAUAAGCUUGAGUACGAGAGAGGAUAGUGGAAUUUCUGGUGUAGUGGUGAAAUACGUAGAUAUCAGAAGGAACAUCGGUGGCGAAGGCGGCUAUCUGGCUCGAUACUGACACUGAGAUGCGAAAGCGUGGGGAUCAAACAGG